GACGAACGCUGGCGGCGUGCUUAACACAUGCAAGUCGAACGUGAUUUUUGUGGAAAUUCUUUCGGGAAUGGAAAUGAAAUGAAAGUGGCGAACGGGUGAGUAACACGUGAGCAACCUACCUUACACAGGGGGAUAGCCGUUGGAAACGACGAUUAAUACCGCAUGAGACCACAGAAUCGCAUGAUAUAGGGGUCAAAGAUUUAUCGGUGUAAGAAGGGCUCGCGUCUGAUUAGCUAGUUGGAAGGGUAAAGGCCUACCAAGGCGACGAUCAGUAGCUGGUCUGAGAGGAUGAACGGCCACAUUGGAACUGAGACACGGUCCAAACUCCUACGGGAGGCAGCAGUGGGGAAUAUUGCACAAUGGGGGGAACCCUGAUGCAGCGACGCCGCGUGAGCGAAGAAGGUUUUCGAAUCGUAAAGCUCUGUCCUAUGAGAAGAUAAUGACGGUAUCAUAGGAGGAAGCCCCGGCUAAAUACGUG
rnacentral:rRNA from 1 species